GACGUAGGGCGCAAGCGUUUGUCCGGAUUUAUUGGGCGUAAAGAGCUCGUAGGCGGCUUGUCGCGUCGACUGUGAAAACCCACGGCUCAACCGUGUGGCUUGCAGUCGAUACGGGCAGGCUAGAGUUCGGUAGGGGAGACUGGAAUCCUGGUGUAGCGGUGAAAUGCGCAGAUAUCAGGAGGAACACCGGUGGCGAAGGCGGGUCUCUGGGCCGAUACUGACGCUGAGGAGCGAAAGCGUGGGGAGCGAACAGG
rnacentral:rRNA from 1 species